UGACACGUGGAUUGCUGACUCGCC
rnacentral:siRNA from 1 species